AACGAACGCUGGCGGCAUGCCUAACACAUGCAAGUCGAACGAGACCUUCGGGUCUAGUGGCGCACGGGUGCGUAACGCGUGGGAACCUGCCCUUAGGUUCGGAAUAACUCCCCGAAAGGGGUGCUAAUACCGGAUAAUGUCUUCGGACCAAAGAUUUAUCGCCUUUGGAUGGGCCCGCGUUGGAUUAGCUAGUUGGUAGGGUAAAAGCCUACCAAGGCGACGAUCCAUAGCUGGUCUGAGAGGAUGAUCAGCCACACUGGGACUGAGACACGGCCCAGACUCCUGCGGGAGGGAGCAGUGGGGAAUAUUGGACUAUGGGCGAAAGCCUGAACCAGCAAGGCCGGGUGAGUGAUGAAGGCCUGAGGGUUGUAAAGCUCUUUUACCCGGGAUGGUAAUGACGGUACCGGGAGAAUAAGCUCCGGCUAACUCCGUG
rnacentral:rRNA from 1 species